rnacentral:snoRNA from 1 species
GACCUCCCAGUACAGUGUUUGGGGAGUGGCUUGUAUUCUUACAGCUUCAGGUAAGGGAGGGAUUUCAAGCCUGGCAGAGUCAUCCAUUCCAAUCCCGAAUGCUCUGUUGCUGGUGUUUGGAGGUACUUGCCGCACAG